ACAGCAACCUCCACCUCCUGGGUUCAAGUGAUUCUCAUGCCUCAGCCUCCAAGUGGCUGGGAUUACAGGCAUGCACCACCAUGCCUGGUUAACUUUGGUAUUUUUAGUAGAGACAGGGUUUUACCAUAUUGCCCAGGCUGGUCUCGAACCCCUGACCUCAGGUGAUCCACCUGCUUCAGCCUCCCAAAGUGCUGGGAUUACAGGCGUGAGCCACCAUGCCCGGCCUCAUUUCACCUCUUGAACUUGGGUUUUCUCAUGAGGCAGUUACACUUGAUUUAUAACGUUCCUCUCAGCUUUAAAAUUCCAUAAAAUUCCAGAAGCACUAUCUACUAGUGAAACAAUUUACUGGGAGAAGUAGUGAGUCCCCUGUCACUGGAAGCAUUCAAGCAGAGUGAGAAUAGCCAGUUGUCUGAUACGCUGUAGAGAGAAUUCCUACAUUAGGUAGGAGGUUAAUAUUUGAUUUAAAUAAUUAAGCCAAUAAUAAAAAGUAGCACUGAGUAUGUAAUAUGUGCCCAGCACUGCUCUAAGCAUUUACACACAUCUCAUUUGAUCUUUUCGGUAACUGCAUGGGGAGUGGGUACUAUCCCCAUUGUGCAGAGGCUACUCAGAUCAGGGGCAGCACUAACCAGAGAGCUCACAGCUAGAGAGAGAUGGAGAUUGGAAAUCAGAUUGUUGCGGCCCCCAGCAAGUCCUAAUCACCACCCAAUUCUGUCAGCAGCCUCGGGGUUCUGGGAUGGGCAUGUCUUCCCACUGGCCUGGGAUCUGGGUGCAAGGUGACGUGCCUGCCUCCUACCCCUCUCCAGGGCAGGAAAUUGAGCAUGGAAUGCAGACGGCAGGCUUGCCAACAAGGCCACUUUCCCACGGUCUACAGCAGAAAGAGGCUGCUUUCCGCUGCUUGGGCUGCAAAUGCUCUGAGCCCUUCACCGGCAGCCUUAUUUUACAGAAGGUGAAAGCUAAAACCUAGAAACGGCAAGCUACCUACCCAACGUCACAGAACAAACAAGUGGCACAGCUGGGAAACAUCUGCCUGGAGUCCUCACUUCCAGGCCAGUGCUUGAUGUUCUGUUUUUUUUUUUUUUGUUUUUUUUUUUUUGCAAGCUCCGCCUCCCGGGUUCUCGCCAUUCUCCUGCCUCAGCCUCCUGAGUAGCUGUGACUACAGGCACCCGCCACCGUGCCCGACUAAUUUUUUGUAUUUUUAGUAGAGACGGGGUUUCACCGUGGUCUCGAUCUCCUGACCUCGUGAUCCACCCGCCUCGGCCUUCUGUUUUGUUUUUAACUAAAUCACAUUACUGCAGUCGCUUACAUGUGACAGUCCCUCAGUUUUCUGUUCUGAAUAUAUCUCUUUUUAAUCAAGGCCUAUGCAUCAACUACAGCAAAUUGGAGAUUCCCAAGAGUGGCAAUUAUUCAAAACGAAACUCUGCCUAUGAUAUUCUAAAAAUUCUAAUCUAACCUCACUCCUGUGUCACACGAAACUCAUUUCUUGUUGGUCCUGAAUCCACACUUCUGCUCCUUUGAGGCAAGUUUCCCCCCUAACAUUGACCCCCAAUUACAUAUUAACCUUUGCCCCAGCUGUCACCCAGCAGAAUUCCCUCCGCAGUCCUCUCUGCUUAUCUGGCCUGCUGGGAACUCACCAUCAGACAGCACUGAGAAUUCAACAACUGUUUCUUUCUUUUUUUUUUUUUUUUCUCAAGAUCUGCUUUUAGGAGAAGCAAUCAUUUCAACACUGCAUUACAAAUGAACUUAUACCUCAGUCAGAAACAAGCAACCCCAUUCCCCACAUAAGCUAUUAUUACUAUUAUUUUUUGGACACGGAGUUUCACUCUGUUACCCAGGCUGGAGUGUAGUAGUGCCAUCUUGACUCACUACAACCUCCACCUCCCAGGUUCAAGUGAUUCUCCUGCUUCAGCCUCCCGAGUAGCUGGGAUUACAAGGGCCUGCCACCAUGCCCGGCUAAUUUUUGUAUUUUUUAGUAGAGACAGGGUUUCACCAUGUUGGCCAGGCUGGUCUCAAACUCCUGACCUCAAGUGAUCCACCUACCUUGGCUUCCCAAAGUGUCGGGAUUACAGGCAUGAGCUACUGCACCUGGCCUUUUUUUUUUUUUUUUUUUUUUUUUAUGGGCAAUAUGUAGUUUCAGAUCACAUGUUGGUUGGGGAUCAUCCUCUAAGAUGCACAUUCAUGUUCUGGAGGAUGACACAGUUAGAAACAGGUUUUAGAAUCCUGUGUGACCUUGGGCAGAUCUUUCAUCUGUUCUCAGUCACAUUUGUAAAACAUAGGCAAAGACUGUGGCGACCUCACAAAGAAUGUUUGCUGAAAGGAGAAAUGAGUGCUUUCUGGGCCAAUCCAUUCUCACCCUGUCGAAGUGAGACCCCACGUCUCACUUGAUCCUCAAGUGUAGUUGAAGAUUGUCACCAACAUCAUCCCCCUGGCCCGCCGCCUGUUGGCAUCAAGGUCACCUGCAGUGGGUCUUCCACACUGAGGGACUGUGCCCUUUGCCACUCAGCUGGGGCCCAAAACUCUGUUCUCCACAGGUCAUAGGGGGAUAUUAAUGGAAAUAUUGGCAAAUCUUACAAUGUAGAAAUAUAAAAAAGUUCUGUGUUAAAACUAUUGUAAGCAAACUGAGAAAGCAAUCAUGAAACUGGGAGAAAUAUGUGCAAGAAAUAUGUGCAAUCAUAUCACAGGCAGAGAUGAACUUCCCUAAUACAUAAAGAGCUUCCACUAUUCAAUAGGAAGAAGCCUACCAACACAAAAAUAAUAAACAGAAGUAAAGGAUAUAAACAUCUAGGUCACAGAAAAGGAAAUACAAACAGUUCUGGACAUUUUAUUUUAUUUUUUUUAAUUAAAAAAGUUGCCAGGCACGAUGGCUCACGCCUAUAAUCCCAGCACUUUGGGAGGCCGAGGCAGGCGGAUCAUGAGGACAAGAGAUCGAGACCAACCUGGCCAAUAUUGUGGACCCUCGUUUCUUCUAAAAACACAAAAAUUACGUGGGCAUGGUGCCGGGUGCCUAUAAUCUCAGUUACUCGGGAGGCUGAGGCAGGACAAUCGCUUGAACCCGGGAGCUGGAGGCUGCAGUGAGCCGAGAUUGCACCACUGCACUCCCGCCUGGCGAUAGAGACUCCGUCCAAAACAAAACAAAACAAAACAAAACAACAAACAAAAACUAAUGAACAAACAAAAAACAAACAAAAAAAAUACUGUACUAAGGGAACAAUUUUCCACCUAUCGUGUUGAGGAACAUAUUUAAGAGUUUUAUGGCUGGAUGCGGUGGCUCAUGCCUGUAAUCCCAGCACUUUGGGAGGCCAAGGCAGGUGGAUCAUCUGAGUUUGGGAGUUUGAGACCAGCCUGACCAACAUGGAGAAACCCCAUUUCUACUAAAAAUACAAAAUUAGCCGGGCAUGGUGGCGCAUGCCUCUAAUCCCAGCUACUCGGGAGGCUGAGACAGGAGAAUCGCUUGAACCUGGGAGGCAGAGGUUGUGGUGAGCUGAGAUUGCGCCAUUGCACUCCAGCCUGGGCAACAAGAGUGAAACUCCAUCUCAAAAAAAAAAAAAAAAGAGUUUUAUGACAUGCUUGUUAGAGCUGUGUGAGGAAAAAAGCAUUUCUAUACACUGAGGAUGAGAGGAUAUAUUAAAGUCACUUCUGUAAGGCAAUUUGGCAUCAAAUCACAAAUGCACAAACCCUUUGACUCAGGAAUACAGAUAUAUUCUGAUGCAUGCCAAAAUGUAUGAACAAGAUUUUUCAUUGCAAAAUUGUUUGUCAUCUUCUUAUACAGUGUAUGAAUACAAGAACUCUGGAAAUGUACAUCCAUAUUAUUGUAUAAUGCAAGCAUACAUUUUUAUUCUGCUUGUAAAUUUUUUCCUAAACUUAUACAUAUUUACUGAUAAAAUAAGCUAGCAUUGCUUUUACAUCAUGUUUAAAUAUGUAAACGUCAAUCUGUGUUUAACAAAAUUGAUUUAUUGCACUGAUGAAUUUUAUUUCAAAAGUUAUCUUUUGGCUGGGCGAGGUCUCUCACACCUGUAAUCCCAGCACUGUGGGAGGGCGAGGUAGGUGGGUCACCUGAGGUCAGGAGUUCGAGAUCAGUGUGACCAAUAUAAUGAAAUUCCGUCUUUACUAAAAAUUUAAAAAUUUACAAAUUUGCCAGAUGUGAUGGUGUGGGCCUGUAGUCCCAGCUACUCAGGAGGCUGAGACAGGAGAAUCACUUGAACCUGGGAGGCAGAGGUUGCAGUGAUCCGAGAUUGUGCCACUGCACUCCAAGCCUGGGCAACAGAGUGAAACUCCAUCUCAAAAUUUAAAAAAAGUUAUCUUUCAUGGUAUGCCCACUUUAGAAUAAUUUCAAAGAUCUUUAGGUAACUCAAAACCUUGUACUCAUUUAAUUGAU
rnacentral:lncRNA from 1 species